rnacentral:lncRNA from 1 species
CUCUUGUAUUCUGUUGCUAAUGCUCGCAUCUAUAGUUCCAGAUUUCUUUCCUAGGGUUUCCAUCUCCAAAGUUGCCUCACUUUGGGUUUUCUUUAUUGUGUCUACUUCCCUUUUUAGGUCUAGUAUGGUUUUGUUCAUUUCCAUCACCUGUUUGGAUGUGUUUUCCUGUUUUUCUUUAAGGACUUGUAACUCUUUAGCAGUGUUCUUCUUUAUUUCUUUAAGUGAGUUAUUAAAGUCCUUCUUGAUGUCCUCUACCAUCAUCAUGGGAUAUGCUUUUAAAUCCGGGUCUAGCUUUUCAGGUGUGUUGGGGUGCCCAGGACUGGAUCAGGUGGGAGUGCUGCGUUCUGAUGAUGGUGAGUGGUCUUGGUUUCUGUUAGUAAGAUUCUUAUGUUUGCCUUUCGCCAUCUGGUAAUCUCUGGAGUUAGUUGAUAUAGUUGUCUUUGGUUAGAGCUUGUUCCUCUCGUAAUUCUGUUAGCCUUUAUCAGCAGACCUGGGAGGCUAGCUCUCUCCUGAGUUUCAGUGGUCAGAGCACUCUCUGCAGGCCAGCUCUCCUCUUAAAGGGAAUGUGUACAGAUAUCUGGUGUUUGGACUUCCCUCCUAGCAGAACAUGAAGGCCGAAACAGGACCUGUCCCAGGACCUGUGUUGCUUCGGCCUGUCACAGAAGCUGUUAGCUUCUGUAGUCCACACUCUCACCUGCACAGACUAGUCUUGGAGGAAUCCGGGAACCAAGAUGGCUCCCCCAGGUCCUCUGGGAAAGCCCUCCCAGGCAGGUCAGACACCUCUCCUCUGGCCAGGAAAGUGCCCGGAUGUCUGGAGCCCGAAAGGAGUCUGCCUCAGAAGCUGUCUUCUAGAGACCUUGGGGGUGUCUGCCAACUCUGUGCCCAAGGUGACCAGGUGCUGGCGCAGACCGAAGGUACUUGUCACCCAGAGGGCAUGUUUGUGUUUUUUCCACAGAAUGCUGCAGGAGCAUGCCAGCUGCCAGAAUGAUUUGUGUGACAGGCUGACCUGUGAGCUUGCUGAGUGCUCUGACAAUGGUGACAAGAAAGCUAUAUUGGGGUGGAGUCUUCUAACCUAGAGAGGUCUACUCUGCCACCUCUGCAGUUUUCUCCAAGACACCACUACCUGCUAAGAGGCUGAACCUGCUUCCUGAGGAGAUCCUGAAGAAGCAACAUCCUGGCACAGAGUGAUGAGAGCUUGGAGACAAAGCAACAGGAGCAUGACAUUGUUGGGGAUGGGCCUUCCCCUUUAUAAGCUCAGACCUUUAAGUAAACUUUGGGCUUUGAUC